GCGUUGUCCGGAAUUACUGGGCGUAAAGGGCUCGUAGGUGGUUUGUCGCGUCGUCUGUGAAAUUCCGGGGCUUAACUCCGGGCGUGCAGGCGAUACGGGCAUAACUUGAGUACUGUAGGGGUAACUGGAAUUCCUGGUGUAGCGGUGAAAUGCGCAGAUAUCAGGAGGAACACCGAUGGCGAAGGCAGGUUACUGGGCAGUUACUGACGCUGAGGAGCGAAAGCAU
rnacentral:rRNA from 1 species